AGAGGGGAGGGCUGGCGGCGCGCGCGCAGUGGCUGCCGUUGGCGUCGCGAGGUUGGGUCAAGGAGGCGGUGUUCCCACAGCCGCCGAGAAACCCCUUCCCGCCGUGCCAGCGUCGCGCCACCAGCGUAGCCGGGCGGGUGUCGCUGCCAUACCGUCGGCCUGUGGCCCUGAUUCGCUGCUGUCCACUGGUCAAUCGCAGUUCGCGACUGGCCUCCUCGUUUACAUAAGUUUGCGAAGCACAGUGCGCGUCGUGUCGCUCACAAGAGGCAACCGCAGCGCCUGCUCCCUUUUCGCAAGCUCAUAACUUGGCCAAAUUUGAGUGAAUUUUCAUGGGGACAGCAUAGGGCAUAGAUCCCUUACAUCAAGUGGUAGCUGUCCCAAGGGCAGAUGAACAGAAAGGAUUUGGUUGGGGGAAAAGAAUCUUCCCCCAUCUGGACAGGUUGUGAGUUCUACUGUUAAAAUAACAACAGUAUUUUAGACCCUGUUUCAGACUGAAUUUAAUUGGCAUUAAACUUCCAUUAGAAUAUGGACUUAAGUCUGAGAGUUCUUUUAACUGGCUUGACUAGCAGUGUUUCCACAAACAUAGCUAAACAUACAUUGUAACUGUUUGCAUGAAAAUGGCACUUCCUGCCAUCGCUGCAACCAUCAAAAAAUGGACUAGAUUCAUCCUGAUGUAACUGCUCUUCGGUGGAGUCAGGUGGAGACUGACUCAAUGAUUAUUGAUUAUGCAGACCAGUGGGGAAAACACAUAAGUUACACAGUCAUGAAGCUAACAAACUUGUGUCCCAUGUACUAAAAUGGAGCUUACUAAAAAAAGUCUAAGGUGUUAAUGAAGCAUUCUCUCAUGUCAUAUUUUAAAAAACCUUGUAUACUCAGCAGCCCAAUAAUAAGUUACUGUGGGGCAUACCCAAAGAAGUCCACCUGCAGCAUCUUGAAUCCCCCAGUGAGCAUGGUUACAAAAUGGAAGAACACUAGAAAUAAUAGUGAAAACAUGCCUUUGGUUCUACUGAAUAUGCAUUUGAAAGUAGAGGCUGAUAACUUAGAUAUGCAGGGGUACACGUUGGUCAUGCACAUACCUGUGGUAAGCUAUUGCAUCUAGACAGUGUCUCAAACUAAUAAGAGUAAUGUCUUCAGAAACUUCUUACCAUACAGACUCUAAUGUAAGAGUACAGAAUUGUGGGAUUGAUUAGGGUAAAAUUUGUGCAUCUCAAGACAAUGCAUGGCAAUUUCUAAUGCAUAUUUGGUUUUGCCCUUUUAUGUUCACCCUGUAUCUUGUAGCAGCAGACAGUCCCAAAUAUGUGCCAGCAGCUAGCAUUGACCCAACCAUAUCAUACUGUAGUAUAUGAGUGUAAUAGACUUCAAUUAAGUGUUUUAUGUGUCAAGCCAUUGAAGUUUGUCAACAUAGAGAUAAUGUACAAUAUAACUGUGUUUUUAAGGUUGGGUCUCCUAAGCAUUGUAACAGUGAAAUCCUCAUUGGCAACUUUCCAUGAACUAGAGGGUAAAUUUGAUUCUUGAUUUCUUUAUCAAAAGCAAAUGCAACUUCUUUUGUGAUUUACAUUAAUUACUGCUUGUAUGAAUUCACCAGGAAUAAAACCCUACACAUCAUUAUAUUUUUUUCUUAGUUUGCAGUUAGAUGGAAGAGGCAGCCAGCCACAUUACUUUUAGAGCUCAGUUAGGCUUUUGACACCCUCUUGAUCUUAAAAAAACUAGAGGUGGAAUCCUGGCCCCACUGAAGUCCAUGGCAAAACUCCCACUGCUACAGUGGGACCAGGAUCUCACCCUAGUACAUUAGAUGAGAGAAAAGACUAUUUAGAGGGUAAAAUUUGUAUUAUAUCAAGACAAGUGUUAAAUAUUUUUGGUUUUAGUAUAAUAACUUAAUUGAGAAAGCAAAUGCAGUCCUGUGGCACCUUAAAGACUUAGUCUGGAUCUGUAAAAGCGGCAAACACGGCUACCCCUCUGAUACUUGAUUGAGAGAAAUUGCUGCACCGUAACUUAUGUCUUCCACUCAAGAUCAGUAAUUUGAAGGAAACUAACUCUUUUCUGCUCCUCUUUCAUGCAUCAUCUGAAUGGUGAACCAUAAUGAAUGCUGACA